rnacentral:lncRNA from 1 species
AAAAUAUCACAAGCUAUCCUCCUAAAAUAAGGCAACUUGUCUUCCAAAUUAACAUAAUAACCUAAUCCAACCAGCUAAUAAAGGUAAAACUGUCUUGUGAUAACAAAAUAACCAAACCAACUAAUAGAACACAGACAAGUGUGCAAGACCAUCAUCAUUCCUUGCUCAAGUCUGAUGCUCCCACAACCAUAGGUCGUUUCCUCAAUAAAUAAGAAUUGCCAGUUGGAGCUUUAGUUGAUGUAGGAGGGGCAGAUCCAGUUGUAAGAGACACAAAUCCACUUACAGGAUGGGCAGACGUUGAGGAUGGAGCAGCAGAAUCACUUGGCGGUACAUUUGAACUUCCAGCUGCAAUGGUGGCCUUUCUCUUCCAUUUUCCUUUUUGCACAGAUCUUGCAGGCUUAGUUCACCUUGUUGUUGUACUGGGACCAGCUUCACUUGUUUGAGUAGUUUGCU